UCCUGUGUUAUGCAAACACCUAAUAACUUUCUACAAUAAAAUACCAUUGUAUUAAAUUCCUGAACAUAUUAACAAUUUCCUCUUUGGUUUCUAACAUCUGUCAUUUUCACUUAGAUUUUGUCACUUGGCAAUAAAAUACUCAGACAGUUCCAGAGCCUUAUGUUGGUUGGACACUUUAUCAAGAAGCACAACACAUGCACAUGUGCACCAUCUGGGCAUAUUUAUGGGAGGAAUAACUGUCUUGUUCCUGGUUCUUUUCCUGUUUGCCGUUGACUUAACAGGGUCAUCUUUCAAGAUCUGCUCACUCUGUCCUCUCAAUGUCCAAAUAAUGCUUCCAAAUCACGAUGUGAGGAGACUUUCAUUAUUGUUAUCAUGACAACGGAUAGACAAGUAACAGCUGUAAGUUCAGACCAGUUAUUUGA
ensembl:lncRNA